CCCUGGCAGUCAGAGGCGAUGAAGGACGUGCUAAUCUGCGAAAAGCGUCGGUAAGGUGAUAUGAACCGUUAUAACCGGCGAUGUCCGAAUGGGGAAACCCAGUGUGAUUCGUCACACUAUCGUUAACUGAAUACAUAGGUUAACGAGGCGAACCGGGGGAACUGAAACAUCUAAGUACCCCGAGGAAAAGAAAUCAACCGAGAUUCCCCCAGUAGCGG
rnacentral:rRNA from 1 species